UACGUAGGGUGCAAGCGUUGUCCGGAAUUAUUGGGCGUAAAGAGCUCGUAGGCGGUUUGUCGCGUCUGCUAGUGAAAACUCGGGGCUCAAGCUCCGAGCUUACAGUGGGUACGGGCAGACUAGAGUGCGGUAGGGGGAGACUGGAAUUCCUGGUGUGGACGGUGGAAUGCGCAGAUAUCAGGAGGAACACCGGUGGCGAAGGCGGCAUCCUGGACCGGUAUUGACGCUGAGGCGCGGAAAGCUAGGGGAGCAAACGGG
rnacentral:rRNA from 1 species